UGCCAGACUCCUACGGGAGGCAGCAGUGAGGAAUAUUGGUCAAUGGGCUUACGCCUGAACCAGCCAAGUCGCGUGAGGGAAGACUGCCCUAUGGGUUGUAAACCUCUUUUGUCAGGGAGCAACGCCGGCUACGUGUAGCCGGACUGAGAGUACCUGAAGAAAAAGCAUCGGCUAACUCCGUGCCAGCAGCCGCGGUAAUACGUAGGGGGCAAGCGUUAUCCGGAAUUACUGGGUGUAAAGGGAGCGUAGACGGCAAUGCAAGCCUGGAGUGAAAUCCCGCGGCCUAACCGCGGGACUGCUUUGGGAACUGUGUGGCUGGAGUGCAGGAGAGGUAAGUGGAAUUCCUAGUGUAGCGGUGAAAUGCGUAGAUAUUAGGAGGAACACCAGUGGCGAAGGCGGCUUACUGGACUGUAACUGACGUUGAGGCUCGAAAGCGUGGGGAGCAAACAGGAUUAGAUACCCGGGUACG
rnacentral:rRNA from 1 species